rnacentral:rRNA from 1 species
CUUAAGCAUAUCAAUAAGCGGAGGAAAAGAAACCAACAGGGAUUGCCCUAGUAACGGCGAGUGAAGCGGCAACAGCUCAAAUUUGAAAUCUGGCGCAAGCCCGAGUUGUAAUUUGUAGAGGAUGCUUCUAGGUAGCGACCGGUCUAAGUUCCUUGGAACAGGACGUCAUAGAGGGUGAGAAUCCCGUAUGUGACCGGCCCGCACCUUCUACGUAGCUCCUUCGACGAGUCGAGUUGUUUGGGAAUGCAGCUCUAAAUGGGAGGUAAAUUUCUUCUAAAGCUAAAUACCGGCCAGAGACCGAUAGCGCACAAGUAGAGUGAUCGAAAGAUGAAAAGCACUUUGGAAAGAGAGUUAAAAAGCACGUGAAAUUGUUGAAAGGGAAGCGCUCACAACCAGACUUCUGGGCGGUGUUCCGCCGGUCUUCUGACCGGUCUACUCACCGUCCCGAGGCCAACAUCAUCUGGGACCGCUGGAUAAGACCUCAGGAAUGUAGCUCCCCCUCGGGGGAGUGUUAUAGCCUGUGGUGAUGCAGCGCGUCUCGGGUGAGGUCCGCGCUUCGGCAAGGAUGUUGGCGUAAUGGUUGUCAGCGGCCCGUCUUGAAACACGGACCAAGGAGUCUAACAUCUAUGCGAGUGUUCGGGUGUCAAACCCCUACGCGUAAUGAAAGUGAACGGAGGUGGGAAGCGUAAGCUGCACCAUCGACCGAUCCUGAUGUCCUCGGAUGGAUUUGAGUAAGAGCAUAGCUGUUGGGACCCGAAAGAUGGUGAACUAUGCCUGAAUAGGGUGAAGCCAGAGGAAACUCUGGUGGAGGCUCGCAGCGGUUCUGACGUGCAAAUCGAUCGUCAAAUUUGGGUAUAGGGGCGAAAGACUAAUC